rnacentral:pre_miRNA from 1 species
GUGAGUGGGAGGCCAGGGCACCACAGGGGGAGCUGCAGGGCCGUCAGAGGGACCCCAGCAUCUGAGCCCUGUCUUCUUGCAG